rnacentral:rRNA from 1 species
UAGGGAAUCUUCCGCAAUGGACGCAAGUCUGACGGAGCAACGCCGCGUGAGUGAAGAAGGAUUUCGGUUCGUAAAACUCUGUUGUUAGAGAAGAACAGCGCAUAGAGUAACUGUUAUGCGUGUGACGGUAUCUAACCAGAAAGCCACGGCUAACUACGUGCCAGCAGCCGCGGUAAUACGUAGGUGGCAAGCGUUGUCCGGAUUUAUUGGGCGUAAAGCGAGCGCAGGCGGUCAAUUAAGUCUGAUGUGAAAGCCCCCGGCUCAACCGGGGAGGGUCAUUGGAAACUGGUUGACUUGAGUGCAGAAGAGGAGAGUGGAAUUCCAUGUGUAGCGGUGAAAUGCGUAGAUAUAUGGAGGAACACCAGUGGCGAAGGCGACUCUCUGGCCUGUAACUGACGCUGAGGCUCGAAAGCGUGGGUAGCAAACAGG